CUCCUACGGGAGGCAGCAGUGAGGAAUAUUGGACAAUGGGUGCAAGCCUGAUCCAGCCAUCCCGCGUGAAGGAUUAAGGUCCUAUGGAUUGUAAACUUCUUUUAUACAGGGAUAAACCUCUCCUCGUGAGGAGAGCUGAAGGUACUGUAUGAAUAAGCACCGGCUAACUCCGUGCCAGCAGCCGCGGUAAUACGGAGGGUGCAAGCGUUAUCCGGAUUUAUUGGGUUUAAAGGGUCCGUAGGCGGGCCGAUAAGUCAGUGGUGAAAUCUCGCAGCUUAACUGUGAAACUGCCAUUGAUACUGUCGGUCUUGAGUAAAUUUGAAGUGGCUGGAAUAAGUAGUGUAGCGGUGAAAUGCAUAGAUAUUACUUAGAACACCAAUUGCGAAGGCAGGUCACUAAGAUUUAACUGACGCUGAUGGACGAAAGCGUGGGUAGCGAACAGGAUUAGAUACCCUGGUAGUCCACGCCGUAAACGAUGCUAACUCGUUUUUGGGCACUUGUGCUCAGAGACCAAGCGAAAGUGAUAAGUAGCC
rnacentral:rRNA from 1 species